AUGACGUGGAGGCGAGCAGCCGCCACUGAGGCCAAAGCCAGCCCCAGUGUCUUCCCGCUAAGCCUCAGCAGCACUGACGAAGCCGGGCACGUGGUCAUCGCCUGCCUGGUCCAGGGCUUCUUCCCGCCAGAGCCCGUGAAUGUGACCUGGAGCCCCAGCAAGGAGGGCGCGUCCGUCAGGAACUUCCCCCCAGUGAAGGGCGCUGCUGGGAGCCUGUAUACCAUGAGCAGCCAGCUGACCCUGCCGGCCAACCAGUGCCCUGACCGCUCGUCCCUGGAAUGCCAAGUGCAGCACGCCUCCAACCCCAGCAAGCCUGUGUCUGUGCCAUGCAAAGUUCCAGUUGUGGAUAAAUGCCCUUGUAAGUGUCCCUCGUGUGACGAGCCCCGCCUGUCACUGCACCAGCCCGCCCUCGGGGACCUGCUUCUGGGCUCCAAUGCCAGCCUCACGUGCACGCUGAGCGGCCUGAAAGACCCCAAGGGUGCCUCCUUCACCUGGCAGCCCUCCGGGGGCAAGGACGCCACCCAGAAGAGCCCUGAGCGUGACCCCUGCGGCUGCUACAGCGUGUCCAGUGUGCUGCCAGGCUGUGCGGAGCCGUGGAACCGUGGGGAGACCUUCUCCUGCACGGCCACCCACCCCGAGUCCAAGAGCCCGAUGACCGUCACCAUCAAAAAAGUCCUAGGAAACACUUUCCGGCCCCAGGUCCACCUGCUGCCGCCGCCGUCGGAGGAGCUGGCCCUCAACGAGCUGGUGUCGCUGACCUGCUUUGUGAGGGGCUUCAGUCCCAAGGACGUGCUGAUCCGCUGGCUGCAGGGGACCCAGGAGCUGCCCCCGGAGAAGUACAUGACCUGGGAGCCCCUGAAGGAGCCCGGCCAGAGCGUCCCCACCUUCUCCGUGACCAGUGUGCUGAGGGUAGACGCCGAGGCCUGGAAGCAGGGGGACAAGUUCUCCUGCAUGGUGGGCCACGAGGCCCUGCCCCUAUCCUUCACCCAGAAGACUAUCGACCGCCUGGCGGGUAAACCCACCCACGUCAACGUGUCUGUGGUCAUGGCAGAGGUGGACGGCGUCUGCUACUGAAACGCUCACCCGCCCCUCCCUGAAUAAACUCCAUGC